rnacentral:rRNA from 1 species
GCAUAUCAAUAAGCGGAGGAAAAGAAAAUAACAAUGAUUCCCUUAGUAACGGCGAGUGAAGAGGGAUUAGCUCAAAUUUAAAAUCUGCUGGGUUUUACCUAUCAGAGUUGUAAUUUGAAGAGGGCGUUUUCCGCGUCAUUGUUGGUCCAAAUCCUUUGGGAUAAGGUAUCAUGGAGGGUGAGAAUCCCGUCCGGCCGACAUCAUGAUGUUUUACGAUACGCUUUCAAAGAGUCGAGUUGUUUGGGAUUGCAGCUCAAAAUGGGAGGUAAAUUUCUCCUAAGGCUAAAUAUUGGCGAGAGACCGAUAGCGAACAAGUACCGUGAGGGAAAGAUGAAAAGAACUUUGGAAAGAGAGUUAAAAAGUACGUGAAAUUGUUGAAAGGGAAACGAUUGAAGUCAGUCGUACCGACGAGAAAUCAGCUUUUCGAAUGUGCAUUUGUGGGCGUAUGAGAUCUUCAUUGUUUACAAUAUGUAUGUUUUUUUGGUGUACUUUUUCGUAUGGUAGGUCAAUGUCGGUUUUGAUCGCCAUAAAAUGAUCGGAGGAAUGUAGCUUCGGCUUCGGUUGAAGUGUUAUAGCCUUUGGUAAAUGUGGUGAUUAAGACCGAGGAUUGCAACGAAUACCUUUUAGGCUAUCCGUCUGACCUCUGAAAGUUACUUAGGUGCCGAAAGCUUGCUUACGGUCAUUUAAGUUGACGGUCAAUAGGUUAGAACGUGAUUACAUUCGUUAAGGACGUUGACGUAAUGGGCUUUAAACGAC